rnacentral:rRNA from 1 species
UCGGGAAUUUUGGGCAAUGGGCGAAAGCCUGACCCAGCAACGCCGCGUGAAGGAUGAAAUCCCUCGGGAUGUAAACUUCGCAAGAAUGGGAAGAAUUAGCGAGCGCUAACACCGUUCGUGAUGACGGUACUAUUUGUAAGGUCCGGCUAACUACGUGCCAGCAGCCGCGGUAAUACGUAGGGACCAAGCGUUGUUCGGAUUUACUGGGCGUAAAGGGCGCGUAGGCGGCAAUUCAAGUCAUCUGUGAAAUCUCCGAGCUUAACUCGGAACGGUCAGAUGAUACUGUUUUGCUAGAGUACAGAAGGGGCAAUCGGAAUUCUUGGUGUAGCGGUGAAAUGCGUAGAUAUCAAGAGGAACACCUGAGGUGAAGACGGGUUGCUGGGCUGAUACUGACGCUGAGGCGCGAAAGCUAGGGUAGCAAAC